UGUUUAAAUUGUUAUGUUUUAUAAUGAGCUACAUCAUGACAUUUGCACAUAUAAGGUCAAGACUUCCGACGAACAUUUCUCUGAGUACAACAUAAUUGUCAGCAGCAGCGGGGGUAGUCCAUACUGAACAUUAUGUCCAAACUGCAAGCCGAUUACUUAAAAUGUUCAGUUGUUGGUUGAAUGGGACAGAGAUGCACAACUGACA